rnacentral:rRNA from 1 species
AGGGUUUGAUUCUGGCUCAGAGCGAACGCUGGCGGCGUGCCUAACACAUGCAAGUCGAGCGAGAAAGUCCCGCAAGGGAUGAGUACAGCGGCGAACGGGUGCGUAACACGUGGGUAAUUCUUCCUCAAGGUGGGGAUAACCCAGCGAAAGUUGGGCUAAUACCGGAUAAGACCACCGGGGGAAACCCCAGGGGUCAUAGGGCGCUCUCUUUCACAGAGGCGUUCCCUCGAGGAGAAGCCCGCGGCCUAUCAGCUUGUUGGUAGGGUAACGGCCUACCAAGGCAACGACGGUAGCUGGUCUGAGAGGAUGACCAGCCACACGGGGACUGAGACACGGCCCCGACUCCUACGGGAGGCAGCAGUGGGGAAUAUUGGGCAAUGGGGGAAACCCUGACCCAGCGACGCCGCGUGGGUGACGAAGGCCUUCGGGUCGUAAAGCCCUGUCAGGAGGAAAGAACGACCCCAUGGCGAAUAACCAUGGGGUGUGACGGUACCUCCGAAGGAAGCACCGGCCAACUCCGUGC